GCCAGCUGAAGGUUGCAGAUGUUGCUACAUCUCCUACGGCUGUCAAUAAAGCUUGCACCUACAGCCCCUCGGCUGCAUACAGGUGGGUCUCUGCUGAUGGCUCGGACUCGGUGUGCAGCUGCUGCGAGUCCACGUGCCCCAGUGGAAGAAGGCGCAGGGAUGUGGCAGCAGUGACUGGACCGUCGUAUGCGGUGGAAGAUGUGAUGCUGGGCCCCAUCGUGAUUGCCAAGCCCUUCUCAGAUGGUGCUGAGCCAAGCAGCCCUGCAAAACAGCAGCAGCCACGGG